rnacentral:rRNA from 1 species
AGAGUUUGAUCCUGGCUCAGGAUGAACGCUGGCGGUCUGCUUAACACAUGCAAGUCGAACGGUGAACCCUCGGGUUCAUAGUGGCGGACGGGUGAGUAACACGUGAGAAUCUGCCUCCAGGUCAGGGACAACAGUGGGAAACUGCUGCUAAUACCUGAUGUGCCUAAGGGUGAAAGAUUAAUUGCCUGGAGAUGAGCUCGCGUCCGAUUAGCUAGUUGGUAAGGUAAAAGCUUACCAAGGCUCCGAUCGGUAGCUGGUCUGAGAGGAUGAGCAGCCACACUGGGACUGAGACACGGCCCAGACUCCUACGGGAGGCAGCAGUGGGGAAUUUUCCGCAAUGGGCGAAAGCCUGACGGAGCAAGACCGCGUGGGGGAUGAAGGCUCUUGGGUUGUAAACCCCUUUUCUCAGGGAAGAAUAACUGACGGUACCUGAGGAAUAAGCAUCGGCUA